rnacentral:sRNA from 1 species
UGAUGUCAGGGGACAAAGGUCUGAACCCACAUGAGCUUGCUCAUAAGUGGGUAAAAGACCUUGGGACCCGCCCGCUAUUCGCAUAAAAGCGGGACGGAAGUCCUGCGAUAUGCGAAUAGCGGUGUGAAUUGUGGGAGUGUGUAGCACGGAACAAUUCACAGACAUCA